GAAAUGCGAUAAGUAAUGUGAAUUGCAGAAUUCAGUGAAUCAUCGAAUCUUUGAACGCACCUUGCGCUCCUUGGUAUUCCUUGGAGCAUGCCUGUUUGAGUAUCAUGAAAUCUUCAAAGUAAAUCUUUUGUUAACUCAAUUGGUUUCUACUUUGGUAUUGGAGGUCUUUGCAGCUUCACACCUGCUCCUCUUUGUUCAUUAGCUGGAUCUCAGUGUUAUGCUUGGUUCCACUCGGCGUGAUAAGUUAUCUAUCGCUGAGGACACUGUAAAAGGUGGCCAAGGUAAAUACAGAUGAACCGCUUCUAAUAGUCCAUUGACUUGACAAUACUUUUAUGAUCUGAUCUCAAAUCAGGUAGGACUACCCGCUGAACUUAAGC
rnacentral:misc_RNA from 1 species